rnacentral:lncRNA from 13 species
UUUUUUUGCUGGGGAACGUAAAAUAUGUUAUAAAUGAAUGUUUUUAUUACUAACCAAUAAUUAUUUUAUGAUUAGAAUAAUAUAAGGAUACAUUUUGUGGUAUCUUUUUAGAUACUUCAGUACAUCAUUGUGUUUUACACAAGCCAGAAUCCAAAUGAAUCAGAGUUGAAUAGUGGAUGAUCCGAAUCUCUCUGCAAGUCCUCUCAUUUUGUCUUCUUCCUGUGUUCAAAGCAUGUUUGAUUUGUCUAUAUUUAUUUGAUGGGUAGUAUUUUGUGAUCGCUUGUCAAAUGUGGGCCAGUGUGGUUUGUCUCUGACAUGUAUAGCUCUGUCUCUCAAAAGCUUGAGCUUCACAGUUUCCAGUGAAACACCAAAACACUUGGUGGAUAAAAAAUAAUCAGAGCAAAACUAUACAAUUCUGUGUGGUAUAAAACAUGCCUCCUGAAUAUUUCACAAUCUUUUCAUUAAAACUCAUUGAUUUGCUGAAUUAAAUGUUUGACGCUAAAUUGGUAUCAGGUACCUGAUUAUGAAUUGACCAAAUAACUAUUUUAUAUGAAGAAGAAAAACCACAUGAAGGCUUUGAAUAAAGUGCAUAUUAUAAUAGUGUAUCAUCUGUUCCUUCUGUGUAGAGAAACAUCCUGAUAACAUCGUUGUUUUAUGUUUUAAUUCAUGAUGAAUGUAAUUAUCACUGAAUGCUGCUGCAUUGUGCAGUUAUUUUAUGUAUUCUAUGGAGAAAAGAAUUGAUAAUAAAUCAUUGCCUGUGGUGGCUUGAUGUACUGUACAUGUAGAAGAAGUAAACAGCUAUUUGUUUGUUAUACAUUUGCCUUUUGUGGUAUAGCCUUUGUUUUAACUGAUGUUUCAUUUGCAUACAAAGUGUGUGUGUGUGUGUGUGUGUGUGUGUGUGUGUGUGUAUGAAAUUAUCCCCACCUUCCUUUGCACUAGCUGUGGUUAUACUCCAUAAUCCCGCUAAUACAGUAACAUUGACAAAGUCAGUGUGUUAGGAAUAAUCAGGCAGGGUCACCGCUGUGUAUUAAAAGACUGACCUUGCAAUCAUUGCUGAAAUUCACAAGGCCACAUGAAGAUAAAACACAACUUAACAUUGUGAUCAAGUGUCUUCAUUAUAGGAUUCAUGCUUAAUAUUACUGCAUUGGUAUAGACCAGGGGCCUUUUCUUUCCCAGGGACCCCCUCCCAGACAAACUGGCGAACCAGGGACCCCCAUCAUACGUUAGCAAAAACAUGUCUCUGCAACGGCAGAUCUCCUCCUCUUCGUCUGAAGAGGUGUAGCAAGGAUCGGACCAAUACGCAGCGUGGUAAGUGUCCAUGUUUUAAUAGAAAAAACUGAACAUGAACACAAAUACAAAAUAACAACGUGAAAUGGAAACGAAACAGUCCCAUGUGGCACAAACACUGACACAGGAAACAAACACCCACAAAACACCAGUGAAAACUAGGCUACCUAAAUAUGGUUCUCAAUCAGGGACAACGAUAAACAGCUGCCUCUGACUAAGAACCAUACUAGGCCGAAACAGAAACCAAAACAUAGAAACACAAAACAUAGACUGCCCACCCCAACUCACGCUCUGACCAUACUAAAUAAAGACAAAACAAAGGAAAUAAAGGUCAGAACGUGACAGUCUCCACAUCUUGUCUUAUCAUCAGGUGAAUGAUAAUGGCAAGGAGACAUUUUAACAUGAAUACAUUUGGUAGAUUGUUUUUGAUUAUUUUGACCUCCCCACAUUAUAAUUGUAAAAGGUGUAAACUCUAACAUAGCCUAUUAGCUAGAAAGGUAACUCCAAACAUACAGUUGAAGUUGGAAGUUUACAUACACCUUAGCCAAACACAUUUAAACUCAGUUUUUCACAAUUCCUGACACUUAAUCCUAGUAAAAAUUCCCUGUCUUAGGUCAGUUAGGGUCACCACUUUAUUUUAAGAAUGUGAAAUGUCAGAAUAAUAGUAGAGAGAAUGAUUUAUUUCAGCUUUUAUUUCUUUCAUCACAUUCCCNNNNNNNNNNUAAACAGCUGCCUCUGACUAAGAACCAUACUAGGCCGAAACAGAAACCAAAACAUAGAAACACAAAACAUAGACUGCCCACCCCAACUCACGCUCUGACCAUACUAAAUAAAGACAAAACAAAGGAAAUAAAGGUCAGAACGUGACAGUCUCCACAUCUUGUCUUAUCAUCAGGUGAAUGAUAAUGGCAAGGAGACAUUUUAACAUGAAUACAUUUGGUAGAUUGUUUUUGAUUAUUUUGACCUCCCCACAUUAUAAUUGUAAAAGGUGUAAACUCUAACAUAGCCUAUUAGCUAGAAAGGUAACUCCAAACAUACAGUUGAAGUUGGAAGUUUACAUACACCUUAGCCAAACACAUUUAAACUCAGUUUUUCACAAUUCCUGACACUUAAUCCUAGUAAAAAUUCCCUGUCUUAGGUCAGUUAGGGUCACCACUUUAUUUUAAGAAUGUGAAAUGUCAGAAUAAUAGUAGAGAGAAUGAUUUAUUUCAGCUUUUA